CAGUGAAACACCUGUUCCCGUACAAUCCCCGAACUUAAGUAACGUAGAGCCUGGUCAGUACCUUCAUGGGUGACCACAUCGGAAUAUCAUGUGCUGUAAG